GACGAACACUGGCGGCGUGCUUAACACAUGCAAGUCGAACGGAAAGGCCCAGCUUUUGUGGGGUGCUCGAGUGGCGAACGGGUGAGUAACACGUGAGUAACCUGCCCUUGACUUUGGGAUAACUUCAGGAAACUGGGGCUAAUACCGGAUAGGAGCUCCUGCUGCAUGGUGGGGGUUGGAAAGUUUCGGCGGUUGGGGAUGGACUCGCGGCUUAUCAGCUUGUUGGUGGGGUAGUGGCUUACCAAGGCUUUGACGGGUAGCCGGCCUGAGAGGGUGACCGGCCACAUUGGGACUGAGAGACGGACCAGACUCCUACGGGAGGCAGCAGUGGGGAAUAUUGCACAAUGGGCGGAAGCCUGAUGCGGCAACGCCGCGUGCGGGAUGACGGCCUUCGGGUUGUAAACCGCUUUCGCCUGUGACGAAGCGUGAGUGACGGUAAUGGGUAAAGAAGCACCGGCUAACUACGUG
rnacentral:rRNA from 1 species